rnacentral:rRNA from 1 species
UACGGAGGGGGCAAGCGUUAUCCGGAAUUAUUGGGCGUAAAGCGCGUGUAGGCGGUCCGGUAAGUCCGCUGUGAAAGUCGGGGGCUCAACCCUCGGAUGCCGGUGGAUACUGUCGGGCUUGAGUACGGAAGAGGCGAGUGGAAUUCCUGGUGUAGCGGUGAAAUGCGCAGAUAUCGGGAGGAACACCAAUGGCGAAGGCAGCUCGCUGGGACGGUACUGACGCUGAGACGCGAAAGCGUGGGGAGCAAACAGG